rnacentral:rRNA from 1 species
AUGGCGCACCACGCGCCGUCCAACUCUCUCAUACUCUUCCUGGUCCUCACUUCCAUCCAAGACGGCAGAGGUGCGACGUCGCGUCCAUCGCCGGCGCCGGCGGGAUACGUGCCGGUUCGCGCCGUGGUGUACCGAUCGGUGGCGCUCCCGGCCGCGACGGUAGCCGCCGCCGGGGACGAGGCGCCGGGCGGAGGAAGUUACGAGCCGUUCCAGCUGUGCAUGGGGUGCCGGUGCUGCGCGGCGGCAGGGAGCGGCGGCGCGAGCAGCUCAUGCGUGGACACGCGGUGCUGCUACGCCAUCGACUGCAACGUCCCCGGCAAGCCCUUCGGCGUCUGCGCCUUCUCCCCCCGCACAUGCGGCUGCGGCGCCGGCGCCGGCGCCGGCAACAACUGCACCGCCACCUAG